GAUAACGUUCGGAAACGGACGCUAAUACCGCAUACGUCCUACGGGAGAAAGCAGGGGACCUUCGGGCCUUGCGCUAUCAGAUGAGCCUAGGUCGGAUUAGCUAGUUGGUGAGGUAAUGGCUCACCAAGGCGACGAUCCGUAACUGGUCUGAGAGGAUGAUCAGUCACACUGGAACUGAGACACGGUCCAGACUCCUACGGGAGGCAGCAGUGGGGAAUAUUGGACAAUGGGCGAAAGCCUGAUCCAGCCAUGCCGCGUGUGUGAAGAAGGUCUUCGGAUUGUAAAGCACUUUAAGUUGGGAGGAAGGGUUGUAGAUUAAUACUCUGCAAUUUUGACGUUACCGACAGAAUAAGCACCGGCUAACUCUGUGCCAGCAGCCGCGGUAAUACAGAGGGUGCAAGCGUUAAUCGGAAUUACUGGGCGUAAAGCGCGCGUAGGUGGUUUGUUAAUUUGGAUGUGAAAUCCCCGGGCUCAACCUGGGAACUGCAUUCAAAACUGACUGACUAGAGUAUGGUAGAGGGUGGUGGAAUUUCCUGUGUAGCGGUGAAAGCGUAGAUAUAGGA
rnacentral:rRNA from 1 species